rnacentral:rRNA from 4 species
AAACUUUCAACAACGGAUCUCUUGGUUCUGGCAUCGAUGAAGAACGCAGCGAAAUGCGAUACGUAAUGUGAAUUGCAGACUUCAGUGAAUCAUCGAAUCUUUGAACGCACAUUGCGCCCGCCAGUAUUCUGGCGGGCAUGCCUGUUCGAGCGUCAUUU